GAUGAACGCUGGCGGCGUGCCUAAUACAUGCAAGUCGAGCGAACAGACGAGGAGCUUGCUCCUCUGACGUUAGCGGCGGACGGGUGAGUAACACGUGGAUAACCUACCUAUAAGACUGGGAUAACUUCGGGAAACCGGAUCUAAUACCGGAUAAUAUAUUGAACCGCAUGGUUCAAUAGUGAAAGACGGUUUUGCUGUCACUUAUAGAUGGAUCCGCGCCGCAUUAGCUAGUUGGUAAGGUAACGGCUUACCAAGGCAACGAUGCGUAGCCGACCUGAGAGGGUGAUCGGCCACACUGGAACUGAGACACGGUCCAGACUACUACGGGAGGCAGCAGUAGGGAAUCUUCCGCAAUGGGCGAAAGCAUGACGGAGCAACGCCGAGUGAGUGAUGAAGGUCUUCGGAUCGUAAAACUCUGUUAUUAGGGAAGAACAAAUGUGUAAGUAAAUAUGCACGUCUUGACGGUAACUAAUCAGAAAGCCACGGCUAACUACGUG
rnacentral:rRNA from 1 species